ensembl:snRNA U6 U6 spliceosomal RNA
GUGUUUGCUCUGGCAACACAUAUACUAAAAUUGGAACACGACAGAGAAGAUUAGCAUGGCCCUUGCGCAAGGAUGACAGGCAAACUCAUGGGGCAUUCUGUAUUUUU